AUAACUAAGCGGAGGAAAAGAAACCAACCGGGAUUCCCCCAGUAACGGCGAGUGAAGCGGGAACAGCCCAGCGCCGAAUCCGCCGUGGCGUCCAGCCCGGCCGGAACUGUGGUGUGAGGGACGCGGCCAGCCGGCAGGAAGAACGCCUGAGUCCCCCCGAGCGGGGCCCAUCC
rnacentral:rRNA from 1 species